GGAAACUUCGGAAACUACCUACCUAUGAAGGUAAUGGUAUGUACAUCAGUUAGCUGUUGCCACAAGAACUCUGUGUAACAAACUUUCCCCCAAACUCAGUAGAAUAACAGUCAUUUAAUCUUACAUAGCUGCAGGUCACAUGGCCAAACCAAAGUAAAGGAGUGGGAGAAGGAUGUCCCUUUCAUGGAGGGGAAAGGUGUAAACAUUUUUGACAGUGAGUUACGCAGUGAGUAAGCUACAGAAAGGUCAUUCAAGGGCAGCUACAGUUUGUUCAGUUAAAGAGGUGGAAAAAAUUUCUUUCAGUUUUCCUCUCAUUCAGCACAGAUGAACUAGUGUGACUUUUUAAAAUACCAGGCUAAAAUAAAAUAAAAUAAAAUACCAGGCUAAAUGUCUCCAUGCCCAGAAAUGGUUUCUUGAUACAAAGAUGACAUUGCCCUAGAAAUGGAGGCAUUUUGAGGUUUUAGAUGUUAAGCAAAUGUUACAGAGAUUCCAUUAUCUGUUCGUGACUAAACUGUGAUUGCCAGACUCUGAGACCUGAAUCUAGCCCUGUUCAUUUAUUUUUCCCCGCAAGAUUCAGAUUCCAAAAGAAUUACUCUCAUUCUGAAUCCUGACUAUGGAAUAUGCCUAUUAGUGACUCCACAGUCUGGAUAUCCAAAAUCUGGGAUCCAGACCACUUAUUCCAAGUGGUACCCCAAAGCAGUAUUCCUUUAUCUGCAUAGGGUUUUCUCAACUAGUAACUGAUUUGUAGUUUAGCUGAGGUUUAUGCAAUUUGGAAGGGGUUAAAAGUCAAGAUUCCAAUAGCUUUCACCAGUUUAGUACGAACUGAUUCUUUUUUGCCUGAGAAGGGGGAGAGAUGUUUCCCUUGCAUAGGAUUAAAAAGGAACAAGAGCCCUUACUUAUCUUGGUCAUCUUUGGGAAGGAAAGAAGUGUUUACAAUGGUGAGCAGCAAAGACAAUAGCUAGAAGGUCAACCAGAAAUCUCCAUUACGCUCCUAGCAGUGUGUGAAUCCAAUGAGUGUCCAUAGAUGAUAGACUGAUUUCAAAAGAAACAUUAGCUUGGGGGGCACCUGGAUGGCUCAGUCGGUUAAGCAUCCAACUUCGGCGCAGGUCAUGAUCUCAUGGUUUGUGAGUUUGAGCCCCACAUUGGGGCUUCACUGUGUGCAGAGCCUGUUUGGGAUUCUCUCUCUCUCUCUCUCUCUCUCUCUCUCUCUUCCUCCCUGACUUGCACUCUCUCUCUCUCUAAUAAACAAACAAAAAGAAAGAAACAUUAGCUUGUGAUUCUAGCUCUGAAGUGUCAGUAUGGGAAUUAAGAGCAGGGUAAUGCAAAUAUGGUCGGCAGUCAUGACAGACCCCACCGAUCGGAUGGUACUGGGACUGGAAUUUAAGAACAAAUUGGUUUGAAUAGCUGAAGAAGAAGGAACAUGAACUGGGGGACAAAGAGUGAGUCAAGUUUUGGCAUGCAUGAACAUGAAAGUGUACCGGGUAGUGAAAAGACCACCUUGACCAAAAUGGGGAAGUGGUCACAAAUUAGAUGAGAUAGCAAUUAUAGUACCAGAUUAUGGGGGUCUUAAGCAAGGGAACUUAAAGGGUAUUUGGGGGAUGUUAGAAACUGCCAGAAUUCCUUGGCAGGGAGAUUACUUAGUACAAACAUCUCCAGUUGUCACAACAGGCUGGUUUUCGUUGUAACUCUUGGCCCGCUUUUGACUUGGAGAUAGUAAUGAUCAUGGUGGUUGAAAGAGGAGAUGAUUCAUGGGUAUUUUGACUCCUUUACAAAUUUGAUUUUAGCCUGAAUCAUAGAAAGAGUCUGCGGCCUUUUCCCAUGGUUUUUGUUGGCAGCAGCUGUGUGUUCCCAUGAGAACAUACAUACUUACCUACUCAAACCCUCCUCUUAAAUUUAUGCUCUGGGUCUCUGUUCACUUGGAUGUUUUCAUCUUUUCUACAGAACAUGUUCACAUAUAAGCUUAGAGCACAAUCCAUGUUUCUUCAACAACUGAGGAUUCAUUUUGAAUAUUUUCAAAUACAUAAAACUCCAGGUAUAACUCCAAACAAAACAUGAUGAAAGGAGACAUUUGGAUAAGCCGUGGUAUGAUAACAUCACACUGAACACCAUCUGCUGUGAACACUUCAGCUUUCUGCAGUGACCAGAUGAAGGAAAUGUGGCUCAGUGUGCUUCUUCAGUGGUUAAUUCUAGAAAGCUUUUGCUAAACUUUCAUCCAAAAUAGGAAGAACUUAUCUCCCAUGUGUUGAAGAAUGUUGCCAUCCUGGGGGUAACAUUGCCCUUUUUAUCUCCGGGAAAGAAGUUUCCCUCUUGCUAAUGGCAAAGCAGUCAACACUUACCUCCAAACUUCUGCACUGAACUCUUUACUCAUAUAGGACAUACUAAUUUCUAUGUUGCUUUGUUUCUUUGCCAAGUACUAAUGGCUUGAAAUCCAAAAUAAAUGAAGUUAAUUAACAGCAGUUGUAUAUUUUUGAGAACCUUUGAAUUUGGUUAUUGUGGACUUUUCUAAGAUACUGCUUUCCUUAAUUUAUACAAAAAGUAUUUAUUGAGCUAGACCAACUGCUGGUGAUUCAGACAUGAAUAACACUUCCUCUGGAGUGUUUCAGGUAAGACAGAUAGGUAAAAAAUAGGCUGUAAUAAAAUUUAAUUAUGCCCUUUAACAGAGGUGCUCAAGUUCUGUGGGAAUGUAGGAGAAAACAUAAUUGAUUCCGCGGUUCCAAGGAGACCAUCACAGAGCAGAAGGCAUUUGGGCAAGUCUUGAAGGAGAGGCAAGAGUUCCCUAAGUGGAGUGUGAGCAUUAAAGUAGAGAUCAGAAUGAAAAAAAAAGCACAUCAAAGUGUGGUGCUAGCUGUUACUUCUUUUCACUCCAGAUGAGACAGGAAUCCUGGGGGAGACAGGUGUCUGGGAGGCUGUUCUCUAAAGUACAGACUUCUUAGCUCGGACCUGUUACAAGCAGAAAUUUCAGGACUGCAGAAUCAGGCUGAUGAAGUCAUGAGGGUAGGACUUGUUGGGGGAGCCGGAUACUUGCAAACACCUUCAUGGAAAUGAAGCGAUGGACUCACGGGCAUGUUUUCCAGACUGUCAGGAGGCAUGAUUUCAGGAGGAGAAGCUAGCUAGCUAUGUUCUUCUAGAGGGAAACUAAGGGAAACACCCCAAGGUUUUAGGAAAUGCAAGUGGUCCCAGCCUCUUUCCCUAGUCCCAAGAACGUUUCAUUCAGUACCAUUUUCCUGACUAUGCACUUUUCACUUUAUUAAAAUGUGAGUUCAUUCCCUGCAUCAGUUUUGUACAGCUGCCAUAACAAGUCACCACAAACCUGAACAACAGAAAUUUAUCCUCUUUCUGUUCAGUAGGGCCAGAAGUCUGAAAUCAAGGGGUCAGCAGGGCUGGUUCCUUCGGGAGAAGCGGAGGGAGACUAUUAUGUGCCCGUCCCAUCACUUCCUUGCCUCUCAUGGACGCCAUGCGUCUCUUUCUCCAUCUUCACAUUGCCCUUCUUGGCGCCUCUAUGUGUCUCAUCCCCUCUCUUGUAAGGAUGCCAGGCGUUAGAUUUGUGGCCCACCCUAAAUCCAGGAUGAUCUCAUCCCAAGAUCCUUAACUUAAUUAUGUCUGCAAAGAUCCUGUUUUCAAACAAGGUCACAGUCACAGUUUCCAGGAGUUAGGACUUGGGCAUAUCUUUUGGGGGCACAAUAUUCAACCACUGUGCCUGCCCUUUCAUUGCCUUUAUCUGGUGGCUUAAUGCUAUGGAUGUCUUCUGAGCACUCAUAAAUGGGCUGUUUGACCUUGUUCAGAAACUAGCUACUGGGACACAAAGACCCAGUAUGUUAAUUCUCUUUGGCCGGGGGUAAAAUGAAAGUCCAAAGUAUACAGCUCCCUGUCUCAAGAGUUUUCUUACUGGAAUCUUUGACCAGAGGCUCAUCAAAGAUGUGAGCUCUAUCUGCAAAAGUAGUAAGACAAUUUUACUAGAGGAAGGUGGGGCAACUUCAAAAACACCUUUCUUGCUUUUACAUUCCCUGUGGUUGUAGUACACUCAGCCUCUUGUAAACUGGAAUAAACUAUUUAGAACUCUAACAGUUAAAUGGCAUGUUGGGUUCCAGUUCCUUAAUCAGUGGCUAUAGAGUUCACCAGAGUCAAGAAACUCAGAGAGGAAAUCCAGCUCACUACAUUUAUUGAAGGUAAAGGGGUUGACCUAUUGUUUCCCGCUGAGUCCCAGACUGGUUUUGGCAGAGCAACGCUUUCAAAAUGUGUUCAAUAAAGCAAGUUCUGCUUUGAUCUUCCCACAAAUCUCUUUUUUCUCCCUUUGCUUAUAAACGUAUUCUCUAGAAUCUGAGAAUUUAGGAUGAUUUCCCCAAGAAACCUCAUUUCUCGAGCGAAAUGAAAUGCUGGGCAUUGUAAACAAAGCACACCCAACCUUUGGUCAAGUCUAAUUUAAAGUGAGAGCAGUCAGCCUGUUGUCUUACCCCAUGGCCACACCCAAGCAGCUGAACAUGGCUGGAGAAAGACUCAACCACGCUGACUGCACUCACUUCAAAGUCAUGAUCACUAAGGCCAGUUGCUUCUUGGCCAUCCUUCUCUAUUUCUCUCCACUAUUCCCAAUCCUGAACGACUAUUUCAUACCUCUUCUCUCUCCCCAACCCUUCAACAAUUCCUCCUCCACCCUCAAAUGUUAGCUGACUUCCUUGCUUCUAUGAAAAAUACUGCCAUUCAGAAGAGCAUUUCCACACACUCCACCACCUCCACAGCUACCCUCUGCCUUCCCUCUGUCACUACUGAUACAUAUCUGUGCUCCUAAGGCAGUUCUGUCUAGCUGUGUACAGACCCCGUUCCCUCUUGUGUACCAAGAAUAUCACUUCUGUGACUUUUCCUCUCUUUCCUGCAUUAUCAGUUUUUCCCUUUUGCCUGGAUUACUCUUAUCAACACACAAACAUGCUGCAACACUUCCCAUCUUAAACAUACGUGUGUGUGUGUGUGUGUGUGCGCACACACAUACACACAUCUCUUUUGACCCCCACAUCUCCUUCCAGCUAGCAUACAAUUUCUCUACAACAAAACUAUUUGAAAAAGUUGUCUCUACAGACUAUCUCUGAUUUCUUUUUUCUGUUGAACUCACUCCCUGUCUUGAGCCACUGCUCCUUGGAUCUUCUCAAGGUCACCAGUGACCUCCAAAUUGCUAAAUCCAAUGGUCAGUCCUCAAUCCUCACCUUACUUGAACCUUCUGCAGCAUUUGGUAGCUAAUCUCUUCCAACCUUUAGGAGCACUUUCUGAACUUGGCUUCUAGGACUCCAUUCUCUCUUUUUCAUUGGCCUCUCCUCAGUCUCCUUUGCUGGUUCCUUCUUAUUUCCUUGAUCUCUAAAUGAUGGAAUGCUUAUAGAGCUUUGGUGACCAGACAUCUUCUCUCUCUAACCUCACUCACUCUGGGGGUGACACUGGACCAUCUCAUGACUGGAACCCCCACCUAUGUUCUUUAAGACCUGUACACACAGAGCGCUGCUUACUUGGAUCCUCACUUCUGAUGUUCUAUCAAGGGGGCUUUUAUUGGCCCAGGCAGUACUGGACUCUCCUAUGGAGAAACCUGGAAGUCCUAGAGAGUAAAUGUCCCUAAGAGCAAGCCCUCAACCAAAGAUGGAUGGCAAUUUGGUGGGUAAUAAACCUAGCUUUCUGAUCUCUCAGGAUGCCUUUGAGGCCUAUUCUACACUCUUUCCUAGAAUUCCACAAUGGGAAUAGAGUUAAGUUGCUGAAAGGGAUAACUUACUUCAUAGUGUACCUUUUACUUCCUUCCUCUUUUGCUUUCACUUCUCUACUGGUAAUUCCUGGACCUUCCUCCCAAACAAACUGCUUGCACUUAAAUUCUUGUCAGGGUCUGCUUCUAGGGGAAUCCAAACUAAGACAAAUGCUCCUUCCAUGCCAAUUACUCCCAUAUUUAUAUCUCUCAUCUAAACAUCCCCCAAAUUCCAGAAUCAUAUAUCCAAUGGCCCUCCCCCACAGCUCUGAAUGGAUAUCUAGUCUCCAUCUCAAACUUAGUGUGUCCACAAGUGAGCUCCUGAUUUUCUCUCCAAACUGCACUUCUCAAGUUGAAGCCAUUUUUGACUCUUUCGCACUUAUGUAUCACCCAACCAAAUCUGUUGGGUUUACCCUCAACAUAUGUGCAAAAACCUACCUCUUCUCAUCUACCCCUUGGGCCCUCACUCAAGCUGCCUUCCCUAGAUUAUUGAAAUAAUUUCCCAACUGGUCUCUUUCUCUCUCUUCAUCUCUUGCUCCAUUAAAGUCUAUUUUCCUGGGGCACCUGGGUGGCUCAGUCGGUUGAGCGUCUGACUUCAACUCAGGUCAUGAUCUCAUACUCAUGGGUUUGAGCCCCGCGUUGGGCUUUGUGCUGACAGCUCAGAGCCUGGAGUCUGCUUUGGAAUCUGUGCCUCCCUCUCUCUCUGCCCCUCCCCCACUCACGCUCUGUUUCUCUCUCUCUCAAAAAAUAAACAUAAUAAAAAAAAUUUUGUUAAAAGUCUGUUUUCCUCACAGCAGUCACAAGGAUCCUUCUAAACCAUAAUCACGUUGUGUUACUCCUCUGCUCAAAACUUGUCAAUGACUUCAUCUCAGAGCCAGAACCCAAGUCCACAGUAUGGCACAUAAAGUCCCAUAUUGUCUGCUGCCUGUCUUAACCUCUGAUCUUACCUCCCACCACUUUCCCACUCAUUCUUUCUGUUGUGGGAUCAUUAGCAAUACUUUCCUCUUAAUACACUAAGCAUGCUACUUCCUAGGACCUUUGCACUUUUCCCUGCAACCCAGAAAAUUCUUAUUCCAAAUAUCUACAUGGUUUGCCUAUUCAUUCGUUCAAGUUCUUACUGAAAUGUCAUCUUACUUAGAAGGGUCUUUCGUUGUUAGGUACGAGCCUACAUGUUCUCCAAUCAUUCUCUUGUCCAACCCUAUGUUCCUCCAGCCUAGGAAUGCUAGUGGCUUCCAGCCAUUGUUGAUUUCCAGGUUUCUUUAAUGUGAAUUAUUUGGCCCCUCAGGUAUUCCAAUACCCAUGCAAUCAAUUCUUCCCAAUAAAUUCCUCUCUUUUGAUUCCCUAGGCCUAUUUCUGUUAGAGUCACUGAAUCUGACUGACAACUUGUAUCAGUUUCAGUCCCAGAAGGAAAUGUGUAAUUAGAGGAAAGUUUAAUAAAAGGAACUGUUUACACAGGUGUUGGUUUGGUUUUGGAGAAACAGCGAGGGAUGGUACAGUAACUCUGGGCCAGGAAUAGCCUGGAGCCAUUACUUACCAAUUCCCAGGCCCAAGGGGGCAAGGCAGGGAUUCUCAACCUCAGCACUAGCAACAUUUGGGGCUAGAUAAUUUUAUGUGGUCGGGGGAGGGCUGUUCUGCACAUUUUAAGGAUGUAUAACAGCGUCCCUGUCUUCUGCCCACUAGAUGCCAGUAGCAUUCCCCCCAUCGGGACAAUGAAGAUGAUCUCCACACAUCACUAAAUGUCCCCUAGGGGAAAGAAGUGCCCGAGGUUGAAACGUACCAGGCAAGGGCAGCUUACUAGAACCCUAAGAGAGACAGGUGUAGUGAGAUGGACAUCCCACUCGCAAAAGCUUCAGUAGAAAGAUAUAGCCGAAACAUGGUAAUGUGAUAGGAAAGGAGCCAGAAGAAGAAAUAUCCAAAAUCAACUCUUUUCUUUUCCUGUAAUCCUUUGCCAGCGCUCCAACCAGCCAAACCAACCUGGAUGCCGAAUUACAAAAGAGUAUAUUGUGUAGUCCAUACAUAUCACCCUCUGAUGACAGAUAAUGGAGUGCAGAAAGGUAGGGAACAGAUCUAGAGAAGAAGACAGAAGGUGUAUGGUAACACUCCUGUAUCCUCGUAAACACCCCCUGCAUCCUGCCCUUUGUUGCUUUCCAUAACACUUCCCACCAUUUGACAUGCUAUUUAUUUCCUUAUUUGUCCACUGCCUUGUGUUCAGUGCCUGGUGCAUUGUAGAUGUUCAGUAAAUGUUUGCCAAAUGAAUGAAUCAAUGAAUGCAUGAUGGAAUCCAACAUGAGAAAUUAAGUUCUGGAUAGGUUUUACUCUGGAAACAAAGUAUAAAUCAGAGGACAAAAGGGAAAUAUUUAGCUUCAGAAUAAUACUACAUAACAAGUUUAUUAGUCACUCUUCCAAAGAAACAGAAGCAACAACAUGUAUGUGUAUAAAGAGAGAUUUCCUUUGAAGAGUUGGCUUACACGAUUGUGGAGGCUUGGCAAAUCAAAUAUCCGAUGGAGUAGGCCAUCAGGCUGGAGACUCAGGGAAGUGGUAUAGUUUGAGUCCUUCUUGCAAGGGGGAGGUCAGUCUUUUCCCAGAAGGCCUUCAACUGAUUGGAUGAGGCCCACCCACUUUGUGAAGGGUAAUAUGCUUUACUCAAAGUCCACCAAUUUAUUUUUUUUUAUUUUUAUUUUUUUUUUAUUUUUUUUCAACGUUUCUUAUUUAUUUUUGGGACAGAGCGAGACAGAGCAUGAACGGGGGAGGGGCAGAGAGAGAGGGAGACACAGAAUCUGAAACAGGCUCCAGGCUCUGAGAUGUCAGCACAGAGCCCGACGUGGGGCUCGAACUCACGGACCGUGAGAUCAUGACCUGAGCCGAAGUCGGACGCUUAACCGACCGAGCCACCCAGGCGCCCCAUGAUUAACAUUUAAAUUGGUGGACUUUGGGGCGCCUGGGUGGCGCAGUCGGUUAAGCGUCCGACUUCAGCCAGGUCACGAUCUCACGGUCCGUGAGUUCCAGCCCCGCGUCGGGCUCUGGGCUGAUGGCUCAGAGCCUGGAGCCUGUUUCCGAUUCUGUGUCUCCCUCUCUCUCUGCCCCUCCCCUGUUCAUGCUCUGUCUCUCUCUGUCUCAAAAAUAAAUAAAUGUUAAAAAAAAAUUUUAAUGUUAAUCAUAUCCAAAAAACAGUUUCAUAGAAACCUCCAGAAUAAUGUUUGACCAAAUAUUUGGGCACUGUGGCCCAGUUGAGUCGAUACAUAAAAUGAACCGUCACAGCAAGAUUAUAGCAUAUUAAAUUAUAUUUGUAGUAUAUAAAUUAUAUUAAGGAUUUAUAGUCUGAAGAAAGUAGGCUGGGAUCUUCAAUCCUAACCUUUUACUUUUUCAAAAGGUAAAAAAAGAAUAAAGUGAACUGCUACUGUUAACUUAUGUAUAAUUAUGUACUAAUUAUGAAGACAGGUAUAUCUUAACUAAUCCUGUUCUACAUUUUUAUCAUUUAUUUGAUAAAAGUCUUCUAGGCCAAAUAUAUUGAAUGAUGAAAUCGGAAUCCAAAAACAAUUUGUCUAAAUGGUAUGAUAAAUACAAGAAAAUGAGGUUUAGUAAGGAUUCAAAUAAGAUCCUUAAGGUAGAAUAUAUAGAAUUUAACAUUGACUAUGAAGUGUGAUUUAAAGUAGCAUAUAAUCACAAAUAUAUGGAAAUUAAACAACACCCUCAUAAACAACCAAUGGCUCAAAUAAGAAAUUGCAACAGGGGUGUCUGGGUGGCUCAGUCAGUUAAGUGGCCAGCUCUUGGUUUCAGCUGAGGUCAUGAUCUCGUGGUUCGUGAGUUCAAGCCCCACGUCAGGCUCUGCAUUGACAGUGUAGAGCCUGCUUGGGGUUCUCUUUCUCCCGCUCUCGCUGCCUCUCUGUCUCUCUGUCUCUCUCCUCUCUCUCAAAAUAAGUAAACAAACGUAAAAAAAGAAAUUGCAAUGGAAAUUAGUAAAUACUUUGAAAGUGAAGACAUAACAUACUAAAACCCAUGGGAGGCGGUGACAGCAAUGCUCAGAGGGAAGUUUAUAGCUGAACACAUUAAAAAGGAAGAAAGAUCUCAAACCGAUGACCCAACUUUAUGCCUUGGAAAAAGGCAAGCAAAGUUAACCCAAAGCUAGCAAAAGGAAGGGACAAAUGAAGAUUAGAGCAGAAACAAAUGAAAUAGAUGAUAUAAAAACAAUAAAGAGGACCAAUUAAACCACAUAUUGUUUCUCUGAAAAGAUCAACAAAACUGAAAAAACCUUAGCAUAUAUGGCAAAGAAGAAAAGGAGGAGACACAAAUAACUAAAAUCAGAAAUGAAAAUGGAGACAUUACUAUUGAUUUUACAGAAAUAGAAAGGAUGAUGAGGGACUACUUUAAAACACGUGAGGGUAUGCCAGUCAGAGUGGCCAAAAUGAACAAAUCAGGAGACUAUAGAUGCUGAAGAGGAUGUGGAGAAAUGGGAACCCGCUUGCACUGUUGGUGGGAAUGCAAACUGGUGCAACCGCUCUGGAAAACAGUGUGGUGGUUCCUCGAAAAAUUAAAAAUAGAUCUACCCUAUGACCCAGAAAUAGCACUGCUAGGAAUUUACCCAAGGGAUACAGGAGUACUGAUGCAUAGGGGCAUUUGUACCCCAAUGUUUAUAGAAGCACUCUCAACAAUAGCCAAAUUAUGGAAAGAGCCUAAAUGUCCAUCAACUGAUGAAUGGAUAAAGAAAUUGUUGUUUAUAUACACAAUGGAGUACUACGUGGCAAUGAGAAAGAGUGAAAUAAGGCCUUUUGUAGCAACGUGGAUGGAACUGGAGAGUGUUAUGCUAAGUGAAAUAAGCCAUACAGAGAAAGACAGAUACCAUAUGUUUUCAGUCUUAUGUGGAUCCUGAGAAACUUAACAGAAACCCAUGGGGGAGGGGAAGAAAAAAAAAAGAGGUUAGAGUGGGAGAGAGCCAAAGCAUAAGAGACUCUUAAAAACUGAGAACAAACUGAGGGUUGAUGGGGGAUGGGAGGAAGGGGAGGGUGGGUGAUGGGUAUUGAGGAGGGCAUUUUUUGGGAUGAGCACUGGGUGUUGUAUGGAAACCAAUUUGACAAUAAAUUUCAUUAAAAAAACAAAUUAAUUUAAAAAAAUAAAAUAAAACACAUGAGGGUAUAGAGACAUUGGAACUCCUUACAAUACUGGUGGGAAUGUAAAAUGGUGCAGCCACUAUGGAGAACAGUUUGGUGGGUACUCAAAAAAUCGAACUUAGAAUUACCAUAUGCACUGGCAAUUUCACUUUUAGGUAUACGCUCAAGAGAAUGGAAAAUCAAUACUCAAACAAAUACAUGUGCUGUAUGUUUAUAGCAGCACUAUUCACAAUAGUUAAAAGGUGGACAUAAUCCAAAUAUCCAUCAGUGGAUGAAUCGAUAAACAAAGGUGGUAUACCUAUAUAACGGAAUAUUAUUCAACCAUAAAAAGGAAUGGAGUGCUGAUAUAUGCUACAGCAUGAAUGUACCUCACAAACAUUAUGUUAAGUGAAAGAAGUCAGACACAAAAGGCUACAUACUGAAUGAUUCCAUUUAUUUGAAAUGUCCAGAAUAAGCAGAUUGAUAGAAACAAGACAGGUUGGUCAUUGUCAGGGCAGUGCUGAGAGAGAGGAGAAUGGGGAGUUUAAUUAGCUAUUUAAUGGUCACAGAGUUUCUGGGGUAAUGAAAAUGUGUUGGAACUAGAUGGAGGUAGGUGAGGGUUGUAUAAAAUUGUGAAUGUACUAAAUGCCACUGAAUGGUUCACCUUAAAAUGGUGAAUUUAAUGUUAUGUGAAUUUCCCCUCAAUCUGAAGUAGAGUAUAAAAUGCACAGGAACUUAAGAGAUAUCCCGAUUUUAUAUAGACUUUUUUUCUGGUAAAAGUAAAAGUAAUAGAAAGUGUUGUGCUAUUCAAUUAUUUAGUACCAAUUAGGGUAUUUAAAAUGAUUUGGAAGAGGAAAGCAUAUGCUCGUUAAUACAAAAUACACAUAGGACUACUAGACAGUAAUAAGAAAUCAUAAGUUCUGGAGACGUAAUGUAUUCCCCUAAUAAUUUUUUUUUGACUCUAAAGUUUUGAGAAGUUAACAGAGACUCUACCUCUGGUCAGUUACAAGGCUUGUGGGUUAUUUUUAAGAAAACUACAGUUUAUGUUUGCUGUGGUGUGUUUUGUUGCUAUUUAUACUCGGCUGCUAGAGGGGUGUCCAUGAUUUGAUGUUUUAGGCUUUGUUCUGACACCUGUAUACCAGCACACUGGUUUAUUAUUUUUUUCACUUAGUUAUUUAACAAGAAUUUUUAUAUUCCUUGUGAAUGGACCAGAAAUAGUUCUACAUGCUUUAAACAAAUAUUGAAUUAUUCAAUUCUCCUACCAACCUGAUGAAGUGGCCUCUAUUCUUAUCCCCAUUUUACUGAUGAAAACCCUGAGGCACAGAUUGGUGAGACAAAUUGCCCAAGUUCACACAGCCAGCUAUUGGAGGAGCCAGGAUUCAAGCCCAGACUCAUGCUCUUCAUGAUCUUUCUCACAGUGCUGCCUUUGUGAAAAAGGGAGUAUGUUUUAGAGACCACUGUUGUGUAGGGAAGAGGGAUGGAAGGGCAAUGCCCCAGGUCGUGGUAAAUGUAGUAUUCACAAAGAGGAAGCCACUGUACUCUAGAUUCAUUUCAUUUUUGGUAGAGUUUCUAGACUGGAAGAUGGAGUGAGUACAGCAUAAAUUGUCUACGUGGGCAAGGUAUUUGGCAAGUCCCUCAUAAUUUAUUUUAGAAAGGGUGUAAUAAUGGGAACUGGAUUCUAGAUCAAUUAGGUGAAUUCAUGUCCAGUUGAAUGACCAUAGCCAAAGAGGGGCACUUACUGAAUUUCCUUUCACUCUGUUAAGAGGCCUCUUGUGGCAGGUCCCAGAGCUUUGGGCUGCCUUUUUUGGGGAGCUGCUGCUCCUUUUAAAUUUUUUAAUAAAUUUCAGUAAAGGAUAACAUUAAAACUCAAUCUAUUUUAAAGAAGAUUGGUAUCUGGUUCUUAUGGGAUAGGGCUGGGACAGGAUAGUUAAUGUGCUAGAAGCUAGAAUGGAGAAAAUGAACCUAACAAGAUGGAAUUUAACAGACAUGAGAAGUCCUUUAUUCAGAUCUAUAAAAACAAACAAAUGUCCAAGACCUGGGUGGGGUUGAGAUGGCUUAAUGGCACCACAUGGGGAAAAAGAAAAGACUCCAGUUUCUGUUGGCUGGAAGCUAAAUAUGAGUCAACAGCAAGUUGUUGCUGCUUAACAAAACAAAAUAAAAUAAAACCCUAAAGAAAUCUUAACCUGGAAAAACAGAAUUUUAGUAUCUAGGGCGAGGUGCGGGAACCCUUUUGUUUCUCCUUCGCUGGUCAGCCCUUACCUGGAGAACUGAGUGGUCUUCCAGGUAUUGUGUUAUUGAGGGACAACAUCAGCCCAUAGAGGUCCAGAAGAAGUGGCUGGGAAGAGGCAACUCUGAAACCAUCUCCUAUGGAAAAUGUCUGCAGGAAUGGGGAAUAUAAUUGAUAAAGGAUGUAAUAUGUUUUCAGUUACCUGGGUGGGAGCAGGGGUUCAAGGAGAUAAGAGAUGACUUACUCUGUGCUGCUCCCUGACAUAGAAAAGUGACAGAAAGGGAACUUAAUAUUGUGUCAACUCUGUGCCAGGAAAUGAUAACCAUUUUACGUGUGUUGUUGCACUACCUCCCUGCACAAACUCUCUGAGAUAGCCACUGGUGCAUGUCUAGCACCUUAGGAGUGUUCUAAUAACUCUCUUCCCUUUGAAGAUCCAGCGAGGGGAAAGCAUAAGCUUGUUCAUAUAAAUACAGUACGCUGACACUGGGCUCCAAUAUUCACCUUGAAGACUAGGCAAUCAACUUUAGAGGAAAAAGGUCCUUUGCUCAUAGGGUCCAACACAGUGUUCACCACCCACUUCCUGUACUCAGACCAGGACAAGACUGGAGGAGGGCAGUGGAAAGGGGGAUUUACUGAAAGCUGUCAAACCCAGAAAUGGCACCUGCUUCCUUCCACCUCAGCUACUGCUGGCUGGUAGGCAGGACAAGAACUCUAGAGCUCUGCCUGUUCUCCAGGUCACUGCUAUGGAACAGUAUGGUAUAGCCACCCCCAGUCACUGCUCUGCAUCAGCAAGUCCCUGCCCACUGGCUCCUUAGCAGAGCCUUACUCCCACUUACUCUACCUUUGGGUUAUUUUUCAAACAACAACUUGAAAAUACUGUCCAAGAAGUUAUUUGGAAAAUACUAAGGAAAGCAUUAGCAUUACAAUCAAUCACUCCUAUACCUCCCUAUGAAAUAUAAAUCCCGCUCCCUGGUACCCAGGACUCUCCAGAUACAAAUGGAAUGUGUUUUUCAAUCUUUGUUCUAUUACAUCUCUACAUAGGUUCUCUGUUUCAUCUAAAUUGAAGUUCUCAUCCCUAGUAUCACUCUGCCAGGCCUCUCCCUGUUGUUUCCUGCACUUGGAAGGACUUCUUUCUCUACACCUUUCAAAAUCAUACUCAGUAGUUCAAAUUCCUUUUAAAUAUCAUCUCCUUUUUGACCCUGCAACCACUGACCCAUAGAUGAAAUGUUUCCUUCAUUGAGCUCCAUAGUACAUAGCUAAAACUUUUGUAUGGCACCUAUGUUGCUACUUGCCAGUCUCUGAGACCAGUUUACAUAUUAUGACAUGGACAGCUUAUUCAUUUUGUUCCCUCUGUUUAUAAAAAUGGAACGUCUAGUGGUUUCACAUUGCAUAAUGGCUCAUUGUAACCCAUUUCCUAAAUGGGAAAAACAACUCGGAAAACUAAAAGGCAGCAACACCACUUUGUACUUCGCCACUUGUGCAACUGGAUAUUUAAACCAUCUAUGAUUGAUAGGGUACAAUGAGGAAACAGCUCUAUUUUUCUUCUGCCUCUGCCUUGAAAUACUCUGCUGGUUCUCCCUUCCCUCUCUCUCCCUUGGUGAUCUCAUGGGCAGAUCCAAAGGCUCUCCAUUCACUUUCCAUUUGCUCUUGAGUAUUGAAACAGCUUGGCUUUUCAAGUAUUAGAAGGUAUUAUCCAGUCAAAAACUUCAAACUGUCAUCCAGGUCAGAGUGUUUCCCUUCCCUUAGCUCAGAACUGAUUUUUGGUUUGAGGACUUACCAGUGGGAAAAAAGAUAUGUGGCCUAUUCUUUUGCUUCCCUUUCUUUUUGCUUUCUCUUCCCCCAGCUUGCCUGGUAAGCAUACCUGGAGCCACUCCUAAUACACUGCCAGAAUGCCUCUUAAAUAAGGCUUGGAAAAAAUGAUAAUUAUAGUAAAUGAGGUAGAGAUGCUGGAAGUUCCUUGGCUGAGGAAGGGGUGAAAGGCUCAGAAAGGUGGGCAUGUUAGAACUGACUUACUGUGCAACACCAGAGAACUAUCAGAUGCCGGUGGCUCUCAGCAAAACCCAGAGAACACUCUUCACUAAAGUAGAAAGAAAUGCUUCAAAAGGGAGACACCAACACCUUGACAAACUCAGUGUUGUUUGUUUCUGCAGGCCAAAGCUGACAGAAGAUCUUCCGGGAAAGUGGUCUCCCUGGAUUUAAUGGGGAUAAUAGGAUUCCGGAAUAGCAGAAGCCAGCUGAUAACACAAAAGUAGCAGAGUGAAGGUGGGGUCGGUGGAAUUAAUUGGCUGUGUGAAUUGCCACAAUAAGCCAGGUAGAUGCAAUUAUCCUAAUGGGAAACAGUGACAACCAAGAGGACUUGACCCUUAGAAAUUGUGGCAAAGCCAGGUCACCUAGGAGUGAGAUAUAUGGGCAAGCAAUGAAGGCAUUGCUUGAUUUAUAUAUCCAAGAAAACCUCCUCUUGAGUCGGUACCACAGUGGAAAAUCAUGGUCUCCUGUCUAGUUUCAAGAGUUUAGGCAGUUUUCAGUCUCAGAAUCCAUUGAUUGAAGGGCCAUGUCCCCUUGAGGAAGGACUUUGAAGCACCAUAGCAAGUAGUUACAGUGGCUAUUAACAAUCCUUCCCGAAAGGAGUCUAUAGACUUUAACCAGAUUCAUCAUAUACGGGGGAAAGUGAAUAUUCGGGUAUUUUGAGGGCCAUGGAUAGGCUGACAUGGACACCAAGGGACCCAAAAUAGCAUCAAAAUCCUUAUUAGAGAGGGAUGUUUAGAGGCCAGGUAAUAGAUGUCAUCCUAGCCCAAGUCAGAGGGCUGUGGUAUUCUUAGCAGCUGGAAGAACUCUCAUGUUGGUUCUCUGUGGAGUUAAGUCUUCAUCGUAGGAAAGGCUAAGUGGAAAUUCCUAAAAAUCCUCCCUGAUCCCUAUCCUCAGGCAAAAAUAGUAAGUUGAUGCCAACAGAGAAUCCUGCAGCAAUUGAGGUCACCCUCAGCCACUCAAAGGAUACAGGAGUGAUGCUCGUCACGGUAACCCAUUCAAUUCACAGUCUGGUCCUUGCUGAAAGUAUAUAGAUUGUGGAUGGAUGGACUUUGGUUAUCUGGACAUUCUGGUCACUGUUCUGUUACCCUGAUGACACCAUGCCAAUUGGGCCUGGUAUCAGAAAGUGGGCUAGAACUUUGAAUGUGUAAGUAAGAGAUAACAGGAGAUGAUUCAAGAAACUGACACAUCUGUGGAAUUUUUAGAGACACGGUGGUCUAGACCACGGGUUGACAAGCGAUGGCCUAUGGGCCAGAUCUGGUCCACUGCCUAUUUUUAUAUGGCCUGCAAACUGAGAAUGGUUUUACAUUUUUAAAUGGUUGGGGGAAAAAAAUCAGAAGGAGAAUAGUAUUUUGUGACAUGUGAAAAAUACUUGAAAUUAAAGAUUAGUGUUUGUGAAUGACAUUUUAUUGCCACACAGCCACACUCAUUCAUUUAUGUGUUGUCUGUGGCCACAUUCAAGCUUCAACAGUAGAGCUGAAAAGUUGCAACAGAGACUAUAUGUGGAACUCUCUUCACUUCAUACUGCUUCUCAGGGGAGCAUAACUGACUCAACACAGUAUUAUGGGUGCUAAGCAUAUUGUUGUACCAUGAUAUUUUAUUUCAUUUCAUUUCAUUUCAUUUCAUUUCAUUUCAUUUCAUUUCAUAUCACCAAUGCAUAUCCUUCAUGUCAAAGCAAGAAAAGGGGACUUCAAAUGCUGCACUUUUUCAUCACUGGAGUGUGAUUUCCUUUUUAUUGGAUUAUACUCAUUAUGUAAUGACACUAUAAUUGUGCUAAAACAACCUUACCAGAUUAAGCGGCCAUCACAAUGUUUCCAACUCACAGAAAAGCGAUAGUCAGAAAUAUUAAGAAAUUUAAAAUGGAAUAUCUCAAUAUAGCAGAAUUUCUUCGCAAAAAUUAAACAUGUAAAUGAGGCCACAGCUAACGUUUUCAAGUGGCUCAUUUGGUAGCAAACAAGAAAAGCCAUUGACCAUUAGUAAGUUCAUUAAAACAUGUUUGACUGCAGAAGCUGAAAAAAAUGUCUCCAAAGAAAAGAAACUUGUUUAAGGUAACCAGUCUUUUGGUAAGAACAGCUGGUCCAAGUGCUGAAGACAUUGGGAAUAACAUCAACAGUUAGUUAAAACAAAGAAACAAACAAAACAUAAAAAAGACAAGGCUAAUGGCUGAGUAUCUUUCCUUGUAUCUUGAUGAGUUGACAGGUGUCCCAGAUAAUGCUCAGUUAUUGCUGUUUACUUGACGUGUCAAUGUCAAGUUUGAAAUGGCUGAAGAAUUGGAUCCUACAAAUGGUGUGUAAAGAACAGUGACAAGUUGAGAAGGUCUAUAAUGCAGUACAAACCGUGGUAGAAUCUGCUAAACGGUAUUACAACUGCUGGUGGUAAAAACUUCCGUGGAACAGAAAAAGGCUUAAUUGGACAAAUUUACAAAGCUUGUAAAACAAUAAGAUGUUAACGCCUGUGAUUAUUUACUGUAUUAUUCAUCAGUAUGUCCUUUGCAGAAAAUAUUUGAAUCUUUGUGUUGUGGAACCAAGAGUGUAAAAAAUGAACUUUAUUCACUCUUAUGGACUUAAGCAUCUUCAAUUCUAUGAAUUUUUGUCAGAAAUAGAAGCAGGGAGCCUGGGUGGCUCAGUCGACUGAGUGUCUGACUUCAGCACAGGUCAUGAUCUUGUGGCUCGUGGCUUGUGGUUUGUGGGUUUGAGCUCCCGUGUUGGGCUCUGCACUGCCAGUGCAGAGCCUGCUUGGGAUUCUCUCUCCAUCUCUCUCUCUCUCUCUCUCUCUCUCUGCCCCUCCACUUGCACUAGCUUGCUAUCUCUCAAUAAAUAACUAAACUUAAAAAAAAAGAAAAAGAAAUAGAAGCAAAAUAUCCUGACUUGGUGUCUUAGUAGUGGUAAAAUUUAAUUGCGAUUCUUUGUUUUUAGCUCAAGACUGAAAUUGAGGUUUUCUUUCUGAACAAGAGCCACCUUCAACCACUAUUAUUUAAUGCUCAAUGAACUUCAGAAAGUUUUUGCUGAUUUUUAGAUGUGAUGUGGUAUUAAGAAUUCUUAUCUUUUAGACAUAUCUACUGAUAUAUUUAUAGAUGAGAGGGCAUGAUGUUGGGAUUUGCUUCAAAAUAAUCAGGGCAAGAGUGGAAAGCAAGGGGGUACAGAUGCAAUAAUAUUGGUUAUAAAAUGAUGAAGGCUGAGUAAACUGUACAUUACAGUCAAUAUACUAUUCUCUCUAAUUUUGUAUAUGUCUGAAAUUUCCCAUAGUAAGAAGUUACAAAAAAAUACUGUCUGCUAUCACAACUGACAAGGAAGCUACAUGAUAGAUAAGUCGGCCUAUAAAGCUGUCUUAAGAAUCAAGAGGUAACCAGGGCUGCCUGGGUGGCUCAGUCGGUUAAGCAUCCGACUCUUGAUUUCAGCUCAGGUCAUGACCUCACGGUUCAUGAGUUUGAGCCCCGGGCUCUGCACUGACAGCACAGAGCCUGCUUGGGAUUCUCUCUUUGCCCCUCCCCUGUUCUCUCUCUCUCUCUCUCUCUCUCUCUCUCUCUCUCUUUCUCUUUGUCUCUCUCAAAAUAAAUAAAUAAACUUCAAAAAAGAAUCACGAGGUAACCAGAGUAUUCAUCAAAGUGUUCAAAGGACCGGACAGCAGUGGGUCCUUCAGGCCCUGGAUGUCUGGGGAACCACUGCCAGCUUCAGCCCUAGAAUUAAUUGGCCCCGGGGAGAAUCCGAAGGUCAGCAAGAAUGAGUCAAGCAUAUGAUUUGGUUGAGCUCUCAGUUGGAAGAAAUGUAGAAUCCACUCGGUAAGGAAUGGAAAAAAUGUCUAGAAAUCCUCUGCCCAUUGGGGAGUGGAGAAGGGAAACCCUCUGGCUCAGCCAAAGACUCAGCUGACUGAGGAUAGUAUGCACAAAAGAUAGAUAACCCAGUGGGUAGAUAUGCAGGGUUUCCAGACUUCCUUGGACAAGCAUGGAAAAGUUGAGUGAGUUAACUUUGAAAAACUUUUACAAACUCAGAAAGGAGGGAAAGGUGAUGGAGUUCAGUGGUUCAGAAACUUGCCUGAGAUCAAAGGAAGUCAAAUUGCCUGAAGCAAGGGCUGUUCUUUCAUGAGCCACACAUUCCUUUAAGAAUUUAAAUUUUUUAAAUGAGAGAAAAUAAACAAGUGUGCACAAAAUAAAUUUUUGCAUUUGAUUUCAGGGGCUUCCCCAAAGCCUGGGAUCCAUGAACCCCAGAUUAAGAAUCCCUCGAUGAAAAUCUUACAGAAAGUUCACAGUGGAGAGUAAGUGGCAGGGAAGGCAAGAGGGGCAUUGCGGGAUAUGGUGUGUCCACUUCAGGCAAGAGGUAGCAACAUCCAGGAUGUUUUCCUGCCCUAGGAAGAUACACGUGAAGCCGGAAAGUACCAGGUAUGUGGACAUCAUCUGCCUAGUAGAGAUGCGUAGGGGAAGUCACUGGAAGGUCGGAAAUAGCUGCUUGGGGGCGUCUGGGUGGUUCAAUCGGUUAAGUGUUUGACUCUUGAUCUCCACUAAGGUCACGAUCUCACAUUUAGUGAGUUCGAGCCCCACGUGGGGCUCUGCACUGACAGUGUGGAGCCUGCUUGGAGUUCUGUCUCUCCCUUUCUCUUUGCCUCUCCCCUGCUUUCACUCUCUCUCUCAAAAUAAAUAAAAUAAACUUAAAAAAGAAAGAAAAAGAAAACCAAAUAUUUGAAACUCUAUCAUAUUUAAAAUAUAGGCCAACCAGUUCACGGUUGUAAUCUCCAGUCCAUCCUCUAUAAUCACCCUUAAUGAUGUGUCAAACUUCAAAUCCAUUCAAAUAGCCUUUUAUAAACCAUGUGUCAGGAAGUGUGGAAGAGGAAAAAUAUUAUUGAAACAUGGACUCUAACACAGGAGCAUUCAUUUCUAAAUGGAGAAUGUAAAUGGCCCUUGAAAAAACCUGGCCCUGGAUUCUUUGACCUUCAACUUAAACCUCUCUCUUCAGGACAUUUUCAGGUACACAAAACCAUAGCCAUGCCUUUGGAAUCAAUCCUCACUUGAUAUUCCUUCGUGGUCAAGAUUUCAAACUCUGAAAUUCUCUUAGACUACAAGCCCUUAUUCUUCUGUAAUUCUCACACCGAUUAAUUUUUUCCCCUUUAUUCUCAGCGUGAACCCCAGACCCGUUGGAUAUUCAUAUCCAUAGUCAGCUCUCUUGGUUUUCACUUGCCUCUUUCCUAGCCUCAAUGCCACAGGCAUGUAAAGCGACCAAGGACCACUAGGUGGCAGCAGAGUCUUAACUAAACUGUCCCCCAGCUUGGGCCCCAAGAUAAUUGUUAUUAACACUGGAGCCUCAAGUUUAAGGAAGAAAUGGAAUUAAACAAAUGGUAGAGAACACAGAGAGAUACGUUGGCUGGGGACAAGAAGAUCUUGAGCCUCCACAUAAAUGUAAACCAGAGAAGUGGCUGAACCUAAGCAACGGGGGAGGGGGGUAGCGGGACACUCCCAGGUUCAUUGACUGUAACCAUUUCGUACCUAUUCAUGGGGGCAGUCUCCCUCUGCUUUGAAACACUCGCUGCCUAACUUCUCUGAAGCACUUUCUAUUUUAGGGUUAGUGACUUAAUACCAGUAAGCCUCCUGGAAUCUUUUGCUCUUAACUGCCUUGCUGAUCCCCACUGCUAAGUAGCCAACUCUCUUGCCUCUCUCCUUCUGGGUAGCCAGGUUCUCCUACAGAAAGUUGCAACGGUCUACACAUUACUCAACUCUGCAUCCAUAAUUUGUAACCUCAGUGGUGACCUCAAGGCUGUUCACCUUUCUUUUUGUCCUUAGUUAACUCCUUGGGGCAUCGCUCAUAGACACAAUUCUAAUCCUGCUCCACUCCCUGAAGUCCCUUUCCACAUUUCAGCUCCCCAGUCUCACAUCCUCCUUUAUCUAAGGACUGGGACCAUCUAUCCAGUCCUUCCCUGCAACCCCUGUCCACUGCAGACUGAGCACAGGACCUACAGAGUCCUCCGUGGGACCUUCCUAGAGUUGGUGGGGGAAGACGUCAGGAAUGCCACCCUCUUCAAAACAAGUAAUAAAGCGAUACCCUGCAUCUCAUCUCAGAACCAAUUUGCUUCUCUGAAAGAUACUUUACGCUCUGCAUCAGCUCGGGCUGCUAUAAUAAAACACUGCAGCCUGGGAGGCUUCAACAAUUAACAUUUAUUUCUCACAAUUCCGGAGCCUAGGAGGUUCAAGAUGGAGGCACCAGCCAAUUCGGUUGCUGGUGAGCACCUGCCACCUUCUCAUUACAUCUUUUCAAGGUCUUUCCUUGGCAGGAUGUAUACAGAAAGAGAAAGAGAUCUCUCUGUCUUCUUGUUAGACCCCUUAUCCCAUCAGGAGGCCCUCACCCCGUCAACUAACCUAAACCCCACCUCCAAAUGCCAUCACGUUGGGGGUUAGGGUCUCAGCAUAUGAAUUUUGGGGGUGCACAAGUGUUUAGUCCAGUCCAGUUACAAAUGUUGGUGACUGGAGUGCUUCCUGACUUACAGGAAGAAGCCCUGGGCGGCAGCUUUUAUAAACCUCAUCUGCAAAGACAGUGAUUUCAAACUAUUCCCUAAAAAGUAACAAACUUACGUAAAAUAUAUUCUAUUCUGGCAGAUUUCCACUGAGCUUGUCCUAUCCAAUGAUUUCUGAUUCAUUUGUUCACUCAUUCAGUUAAUAAAUACUUACUGACUUGAGCCGAGACUCCUAACCACGACAUGCUGCCAUAUACACAAAUGUGCUGAUGCAGCACUUUUGUGGCAGAUAAAGAAUAUUUUAAAAGAAGAAUCAUUCAUCCAGAAUUUGUCAGACUCUCCCUCCAGCACUGUGGAAAGAGAGUCCGCUCUCUGGCCAGCAGGCAUAUGCCAGUGUGCUCAGCUGUGAGUUCAGACAAAGAGUAAGUGCCUCGGGCUUAACUUUUUUUAUUAUAAUCACUGCUGAUAUUCAAGUAGUGCUCAAAGGCUUUUUAUCUAAUGGAAAGAUAAUGUGUGGCCAGCAGAUACACACAUGUUCUAGUCUGCUUGACGGGCACAUCUCUGAGAACAGUGAUGUAAAUGAGAAUUCCAUCAUCUUCAUCAGUUUCUUAUGAAAUAGAUUCUUAUGGAUCAUCAACCCCCCCCAGAUCACUCCUGAGUGAACAAACAAGAAAGAAUUUUGAAAUCUACAAUGCUGUAGAUGUGACCUUGGCCUCAGAAUGAGCUCACUAAUUUGCGGGCUGGAAUCCUCUAAAGUUCAUCCUCCUUCUCUUAAAGCUACCACUAUCAACCCAAAGGCACGUCCAUUUUAAUCUGUAUUCAUUGAAUUAGUGAAUUAGUAUAUUAAUUAAUGCCAUGAGCUUUAAUAUUAACAAAUUAAUUUAUUGGAUAAUGAAUUUGUUAACAAAUUAAAUUAUUCAAGAUGCAUUUAAUUCAUUUAAACUGUAUCAAUUGAGGGGCGCCUGGGUGGCGCAGUCGGUUAAGCGUCCGACUUCAGCCAGGUCACGAUCUCGCGGUCCAUGAGUUCGAGCCCCGCGUCGGGCUCUGGGCUGAUGGCUCAGAGCCUGGAGCCUGUUUCCGAUUCAGUGUCUCCCUCUCUCUCUGCCCCUCCCCCGUUCAUGCUCUGUCUCUCUCUGUCCCAAAAAUAAAAUAAACGUUGAAAAAAAAAAUUAAAAAAAAAAAUAAAUAAACUGUAUCAAUUGAGUGGCAGUAUUUACCACAAACAAUUGGGUAUAACAUAGGGAUAUAACAGCUACAUCAAAUAUUCAGAAGAUUUUCGAAUAGGGUAAAACCUGUCCUGUGUGGUCAAAGCAUGUACAGAAUGAAGAUCAACAGGUAGAAGAUGUGGGAAAGCCCAUUUUAGCUUAGCAUCACAAAGACCCCUCUAAACAACAAGAUUUCUCUAACUAUUCAUUGGGAAAAGUGAUUUGUUGGUCGCCUGAGGGGGUUGGGGAUUUGCCAGCCUGUGGUGUUGAAGAUCUGGAAGACCUCCAGUGCCUCUAAGAUCCCACCAGCUCUGAGAGUCUGUGAUCUCCUAAAUCAGCCCGGUCAUUUCUGCUGCAACCCCAAGUGCACAACUGUACGGAAACCGAGGCCCCUUUUGCUGCCAGCCCUCACUCAGCUCCUACAAGGAAGCAGGAUGUGGCUCUAGGGACACACACCUGCAUCUUUAUCCGAGCUUGAGGCGAUGAGAGUGCUGCCUCUCAUCUCGUAGAUUCGUAAUGCAUGAUGUUGCAAGGCUGAUCAUUAUGAGGAAGCAAGUGUUUAAAAUCCUGGUCCGGAUUCUUGGCUUCUAGCUUACAGGUGGAGCUGAAUUGAGUUAUAAGCCAUUAGAACACAAUUACAGCAGGAUUUUCCACUUUAGAAUAUUACCCGUUUGGCUUAGAAAUAAAUCAAGCAAUGCUGAAAGAUAGAAGCUGCAGUCUUAAAGUGCUGGAAUCAAAGAAGAAAUGAGUAGAGAGAUUUAUUUUCCCGAAAUCAUUUUUUCCCCCUUCUGAAAGCCCAAGCAAAAAUUAAGGAAAUUUAUUCAGGAGUUCUAGGGCCUUAGAACUAAAUUCAUAUUGUUGCCAGGAAGUGGAGAGUGUGGGGUCCAGGAAGAGCCUUUUCUGGAGCGACUAAUCUGAGGCAGGCAGCAGAGAGGGAACUUCACUUUGGUGGAUAUGGAGAUAAUACUUUAGCAAGAGUUGUCGGUUCCAAUUCACCACUUUACGAACCUAUUUCUGUUUCGGGACUUUUAAGAAAAUACUUGGUAUUUGAUUUAUACUGGAGUAUGUAUGGGUCACGUAUAUGUUGCUUUAUUACAGUAACUAACAGCAGGAAAAGAGGUUGUCACUAGAAAGCAUGAGCUAGAGCUUAUGGGUAUUUUGGAUCUUCAGAAGCCUACCCGCUCUGAGACUCCACAGCCCUUGCCUUGGUGGGAGAAAGAGUGACAAUCCUAGGGCUUAUGCCGACAAAGGUCAAAGCCCUAAAUCUAAAGACAGAGUGAGGAAGAUGUAUAUGCAGAGUCAUGGUGCUGGGGAAGUCAGCCAACAGCUUAACAAAAGAUAAGAUUGUAUUUGGAUACGGGUCGUGCAAAGUGCAGAAACCAACAGAGCUGUAAAAAAAAAAAAAAAAAAAAAGCCAGUGUUCUUUUUCUCUUUCUUUCUUUCUUUCUUUCUUUCUUUCUUUCUUUCUUUCUUUCUUUUUACCGAACCAAAGAGUAGUCCCUAUGUAUUUAUUAAAUGCUGAAUUCUAGGAGAAAUGUGUAAAAAUAAUCCAUCGAUAUUAAUUAUUUUAAACAUAACUAGCGUAAACCCUGCUUAUUGCUUUAUAAAGGAAGGCCAUUCUUUCUGUAACCACAAGGAGUGGUCUGGGACCCUGACAAAACUCUUGUACUUCUGUAUACAGUUGACCCCUAGACAGUUGUGCAGGGGUUAGGGGCAUCGACCCCCCACCCUCUGCCCCGAGCAGCUGAAAAUCCACAUACAGCUUUUGACUUUUCAAAAAUUUAACUACUGUUGAUGGGAAGCCUUACUGGUAACAUAAUCAGUCAAUUAACACAUAUUUCACAUGUUAUGUGUAUUAUAUAGCAUAUUCUAACAAAGCAAGCCAGAGGAAAGAAAAUGUUCUUAGGAAAACCAUAAGGAAGAGAAAAUACAUUUACAAGGCCGUACUGUAAAAAACCCAUGUGUAAGUGGACCCACACUGUCCAAACCUGGCUUGGUCAGGAGUCAAUUGUAUUAUAACAAAUGUGAAUUACUUUCCCAACACACUGGAGAAACAAAUACUCUAUUUUUCUGUCCCUCUGAGCUUCAGCUUUUCCAUUGUGAUACAUCAUUAGUCUGACAACUACUCAGACCAGUUUUCUAACUCACUCUGAUUCAAUUCCACUUUCUUCCAGUUAGCAAAUUCUCCAUUUUUACAAACUGACAUCCUAAAGGGAACAGAUCCUUUUCUUUGGUUUUCAUUUAAUUUCUUGUAUACUCAAAACAAGGGGCACUUGGGUGGCUCAGUUGGUUGGGCGUCUUGAUUUCAGCUCAGGUCUUGAUCUCAGACUUUGUGGGUUUGAGCCCCACAUCAGGCUCUGUGCUGAUAGCUCAGAGAGCUGCUUUAGAUUCUGUGUCUCCCUCUCUCUCUCUGCACCUCCCACUUGUGCUCUGUCUCUCUCUCUCUCUCUCUCUUUCUCAAAGAUAAGUAAACAUUUAAAAAAUUUAAAAAGAAAAAAGAAUUUAUUUUAAAAUCAUUUAUUUUAAAUUCUAUUGGGAAUCUAGCCUGUUUUUCUUGUUUUCUUGACUAAGUAAUGAUUUCCUUUUUUUUCUUUUGAAAUGAUUUAAAUAAUAACUGCAGAAAUAGUAGGAAAAGCUUUUCUUUCUGAGUGAUUUGCUGACAUGAUGCUCCAUCACCCUUGAACACUUUAGUGUGCAAUUCUUACAUAGAAGGACUUCCCAUAUAAUUACACUGCAACCCUCAAAACGAGAACAUUAACUGUAAUUCAUUGAUGGCAUUUAAUUUUAGACCCCAUCCAAGGUUUAGCAGUUGUCCCAAUAAUGUCUUUAUAGCAAAAGAAUCCAGUUCAGAGUCACACAUCACAUUUGUUUCUUGUGUAUUUUUGUGUUUCUUGAUCUCAAUCAGUUCCCCCAAUUUUUUUCUGACUUUCAUGAUUUUGACCAUUUUGAAGAUUACAGACCACUAAUUUCGUCAAAUGUGUCUUAUGAUGGGAUUGUUUGAUGUUUUUCAAGUUUGUAUUUAAAUUAUACUUUGGCAGGAAUAUCACAGAUGUGAUGCUGAGUUCUUCUCAUUGCAUCCUAUUGGUAUACAAUUUCGAUUUGUCAUAUUACUGGUAAUAUUAAAUUGAGCCCUUGAUUAAGGUGGGCUAAUAGGCAGAAACUUAGGAUGGCUCUAUGACUUUGGCUGGUGGUGUUACUCUUAUGAUCAUGAUAUGGCAAAAGGGAGGUUAUCUAGUGGACACAAUCAUAUCAGUACUUGAAAAGGAGAGUUUUCACUGGCUGUUAACAGAGGCAGAGGUCAGAGAGAUUUGAAGUGUCACAGGGAUUCAACUCUAGGAAGGUCUACCUCAAGGAGAUGAAGAAGACCCAAGGCAAAGACCCAAGAUCAGCCUGUAGGUUCAGGGGGCUUUUCCUGGACCCUAGCUGACAGCCAACAAGGAAAUAGGAACCUCGGUCUUACAGCUUCCAGAAACAGAGUCCUGCCCCUCCCCCUGCUCGUGCUCUGUCUCUCUCUCAAAAAUAAGUAAACAUUAAAAAAUUAACAAAGAAAAAAAGGAAAUGGAGUCCUGUCAACCUGAACGAGCUUAGAGGGUAGAUUCCUUCCCAGAGGACUCCAGGUAAGAGUCUAGCCUGGCUGACAGCUUGAUUUCAAUCUUGGUGGACUCAGAGCAGAGAACCCCAUUGAAGCCACCUACACUACUGACUUACAGAACUGUGAGAUCAUAAGUGGGUGUGUUUCAAGCUUUCAAGUAUAUGUUAAUAUACUUCUUCUGGGGCCCUUCUUAUGAAGGCCUAUUCAUAAAGCUUCUACCUUCAUGAUUUAAUUACCUCCUAAAGGUCCCACCUCCUAAUACCAUCACAUUGGGGGGUUAGAAUUUCGACAUAUGAAUUUGGGGAGACACAUUCAGUACAUAAUAGCAAUUAAUAAGCAUUUUGUAAAGAGGUACUUUAAGACUAGACAAAUAUCCCUUAUCAAAUGUUUACCCACUUAUUAGUUUAAGUAUCAAUUGAUGUUUCUUGGAUGGGUUAAUUAUUAAUAUGGUGGUUAAAAUCAUGGUCCUCUGAUUCCAUUAUUUCUCCUGCAUAUUAGUUGACAAUAUACGGUGAGGGAGAGUUUUCUGUCCUUAUUUAUUCAUUUCAGAGUGGUUCCAUGAAUUCCUCUUUUAUUCAAUGGGUCAUAAUCCAUUAGUGUCAUUAUUAAUUUUAUGCUCUAAUUGAACUGGUCUCUGUGCCUUUAGGCAGAAGCCCAUCAUUCACUGAGCCCUCCCUCACUUCCCGGUGGAAAAAUCUGUUCCCUGAUUCAAUCCUGGAGUCAUCUAGCUUUCCAAGUAACCUAGUUUCUUUUAAUGGAGAAUAGUACAUACAUAUCUAUAGCUAUAUGGAUCUUUACAUCUCUACUUCUAUGCCACCCCAUCCAUAUAGAAACUCAUGAGUUCACAGCAAAUCUAAUCCAAUUCCACAGAGUUCAUUCUAGUUUUGUGUCUUUCUGUAGUUGUAACUGCUUAAAACAAGAAAUCUGAGUCCAUGGCUGACUACAUAAUUUGCAGAGCUAAAUGGAGAAUGAAAAUGCAGAGCCCUUAUCCCCUGGGAGGAAAAAAAUGCUAUUAAAGGUACUAAAAUACAAAGCUUUUAAUUUUUGCUCAUAGUCUCUCUCUCCACCAUAGUGUUUUUUAAUUUGCUAUUUAAUGUCAUUUUAAGUAAAGAAAAUUUUAAGUUGAAAAAUAUUAGCAUGAAUUUUACUAUUAUCUUUAUAUUCUGCAAUAUCAGUUUCAAAUGCAAAUAGGAGAGCAUUUAACUCAUAUGCAAAAUCAUCAAUGUUACACAGCUAUAUUUUGGAGCUCAUACACAUGUAUAUAUGUCAUUCUUACCACAAUAGUAGAAAGAUUGCAUAAAACUAACUCAAUUGUUUUUAUUUCAUUUCUGGAUAUGCAUGCAUUUUCCCACAUUUGGUUCUACAUUUGGCUUACAGAUGAUUGAGGAUGUACUGAAAAGAAAAGGAAGGAUGGUUUGCCCUAUAUUUCCUUCUCUGUCAUUUUCAGUGCAACGGAUUGUCUAAUAAGCAGAAGUAACACAAGUAAGGAUUCACAUGAUUAGGUCAGGCCCACCCCAGCGAUCUCCCUGUCAUAAGGUCAGCUGAUUUGGGACCUUAGUUACAUCUGUAAAAUCCCCUUUACCAUACAAUAUCACAUCAAUAUUUGGGUACUAUCUUAUCAUAUGCAUAAGCUCCACACUCCAGGGAAGGAGAUUAUACAAGAGUGAGGGUCAUUGAAGGCUGUCUUAAUUCUGCCUUCUACAUCUACCUUAAGAUAGAUAAUGGCUAGUGACCCCAAGGAAAUUGUUAAGUUCAUUUGUGAUCACGUUAAGUGUGUUAUCUUGGCCCCUGCUGGGCCUGGAUCUGAAGAGGAAAAUACCCGUAGGCCAGAUGGAUAAAGAUCCAGAAACUUCUUCAGUCAUGGCAGGCAAUUUGGGCUCUUCUGCAGAGGCAACAGGUGUCUGUUUUCCUAAGGCGCAAUUCUCAUGUCAGAGAACAGAGACCGGCAAAUGCAAAGGCAUAGUGCCAGGGAAGCUGCCAACAUUUGCAAACACAGCUGAAAAUGCUUCGUCUUGGAUAAGGUAAUACAGGCAGAAAGCGGAGAGAAUGGAUACGUACAGAAGCAAACAGGCUGUUGGGAAAAAAUGGGCCUAAAUAUGAUUCAGAUGAUGUUCAGAUGCUCUUUUAGCUAUUUGGGUAACAAACUAAUGCUAAAGGGAAGUCCUGUUCAAGAAAGUCCAUAAAUACAUUCUCACAAGUAUUGGGCCUUCAACUAUGGUCAUGGUAACUGACGCUGUGUUGACAGUGUACUGAGUUGAAUAGUGUCCUUCAAAAGUCUGUGUCCACCCAGGGCCUCAGAAUGUGGCCUUAUUUGACCAUGAGGUCUUUGCAGAUAUAAUAAGUUAAGAUGAGGUAAUACUGGAGUACAUUGGGCCAUAAAUCCAAUGACUAGUGUCUUUAUAAGAAGGUUAUAGAAGCAGAGGCUGACAUUGGAAUCCUGUCCCCUUUCCGAUAAGCAAAGGAGCCUCAAGCAUUGCUAGCAACUACCAGAAGCCAGAAAAGGUAGGGAAGGAUUCUCCCCUAGAGCUGUCAAAAGGAGUAUGGCCUUGAUUUUGGACUUACAGGACUGUGAGAGAAUAAGUUCAUGCUGUUUUAAGGCACCAACUUUGUGGUAAUUUGUUCCAGCCACCCUGGGAAAAUUAGAACAGGCACUAAGGAAGAAAUCAAAACUGGAAAAAUCAGAAUAUUUCUGUUCAUAGGAAGAUAGCAAGGGUUAUGAAUUCCACUUAUCAAUCAACAUGAGACAGCCACUAUCUUUCCUUAAUUUCCAGGAUUCGUCCAAGGUUGAGGCAGUGGAAUACAGUUUUUCCAAUUAUGCCAGCUUAAGACCCCUGGAAGGCUGACAAAUAGGCUGUGAUUGGCCCUGCUGCUUUCCUGAGCUGCUAGCAUCACUUGACUCAUGGAGAAUAGGACCACGGCCAUUCUCCUCCACUCACUGCCUCCCUGGCCUGGCCUUCUGAAGGUGUGCCCUGGUAGAAAAGAUCCUGGGACUAUGGCUUAUCACCAAGCCCUGUUCAAAUCACAUUUAGGAAGGAAUUGCUAAUAAAAGGAAUUCACUUGUUUCUGGUAUGGAAUCAAACAAACAGAACUGAAGGAGGAGAAUACGAAUUGCUUUUCAAUGGUUAUUUUAGCCCUUACAAUUAUACCCAAGUGAGGACAGGAGUAAAAAAUUGAUCAUGAGUUAACUGACAUUCUCCAUGUAUCACCCCUGACUCCAAAAUGGUCAGUUCAAUUCUGGUUUAAGAAUGUCAUACAGUCCCUGAAGUUUAUAAUUAGUUGUAGGGGUGCCUGGGUGGCUCAGUCGGUUGAGCGACCAACUCUUGAUCUUGGCUUUGGUCAUGAUCUUGCGGUCAUGGGAUAGAGCCCUGUGUCAGGCUCUGCACUAAGCAUGGAGCCUGCUUACAAUUCUCUCUCUCUCCCUCUGCCCUUGUCCCCCACUUAUGCACCUUACUCUCUCUCUCUCUCUCAAAUAAAAAAUAUAUAUAAUUAGUUGUUGAGUCACUUGUAGAAUCAUUUCAGAUUAUGUGGGUAGGUGCCAGGAAGUGUAAGAAUGAAGAGGCUUGGUUCCAGUUUUCUCAUGUGUAAAAUAACAAUAAGCACACCUUGCAUCCGCCUACCUACCCACCUUCCCAUCCAUUCGUCCAUUUAUUCAAAAUAUAGGAUUGAGGAACAGAGAAUACAGCAACAAACAAAACAGACCAGAAGUCCUGCUCUCAUAGAGCUUACAUUCUUUUGGGUAGAAACAGAGCAAGCAAGCCAACAAACUAUAAAUUAUAUAUAUAUCAUAUGGUGGAAAAGAAAACAAAGAAAGGAAAGAGAUUACCACAGGAGAUGGAUUAAUUUUAAAUAGGGCGGUGAAGGAAGUCCUCACUGAGGCCUGAGAAGAUGGUUAGUGAGCAAAGACCAGAAGAAUAUCAGGCAGAGAAACACUCCCAUAUAUGAGGGUGGCACAUCCCAGGCAACCAGAAUAACAAUGGCAAAGGUCCUGGGGCACAAACACAGUGGUAACCCCAAACUACCUGUUUUGUGUUAUAUUUUAAUGAUGGUCAAGUUCUUCGUCUUGGUCCCCACCAAUACUCCCCAACUUACCCGAGGGCUGACCUUUUUGAAACAAUAAAAGUGGGGGCGCCUCGGUGGCUCAGUCGGUUAAGCGUCCGACUUCAGCUCAGGUCACGAUCUCGCGGUCCGUGAGUUCGAGCCCUGCAUCAGGCUCUGGGCUGAUGCCUCAGAGCCUGGAGCCUGCUUCCGAUUCUGUGUCUCCCUCUCUCUCUGCCCCUCCCCCGUUCAUGCUCUGUCUCUCUCUGUCUCAAAAAUAAAUAAACAUUAAAAAAAAUUUUUUUUAAAAAGAAACAAUGAAAGUGCCUGUAGGCAGCACUAUCAAGUUGAAGGGUUAAGCCCUUCCCUGAAAUUUCUGGGAAAACAUUUACCCUACUGACAACAAAUGAGGAGCAACAAGCUGGGUAGAAUUUAAAAGUAAAAUGUAAUCAAAUUCCACUGUGUAGUACAUUCAGAAUAUUUGUUUUCUAAAGUUGAAAGGCCAAUUGAAUGAAAAUAAUUUCAAGUAACAGUGUAGGUGUAUGAAAUAUUUAAUUGAGUUGGAUCCUUAUUUGUUAUUUUUUAAAAGGCUUAAUACUUCUCUGAUUGUAAAAAUGAAUUUCCCAUUGUAAAAAACUUGAAAAUUAUGUGAAAUAACAAGAACAAAAUUUGCUUGUGACUACAUAGGAAAAAAAAACGAUUUACAUUUCUAUCUUUCUAGAUAGAUUUCCCUUUUAUUUUAAACUUUGUUGAUUUGAUAGUGAAAAUAGCUUGUUUUAAUUUGCAUUUUUGGGUACUAGUGUGAACAACUUUUCACAUGCUUUACUGGCCAGGUUUCAUGUAUCAACUUUGCUUUCUCUUAAAUUUUUCUUACCGAUCUGAAAAAGCUUUUUAAUCAUAAGAAAACCAUGAAUCCAUUUUCUGUCACAUUCAUGGUAAAUGGUUUUUUCCAAGGUUCUUUACUGCCCAUUAUUUUUGCAUAGUUUUUAUGUCCAAAUUUUGUAUUUUUAUAGUCAUGCAUACUCAAUAUUAAAGCCAAAAAAAUAUUUAUUUCCAACAAUGUUCACUAAAAGAGUCUUUUCAAAUUUUACUGAAAAUUAUGGUACUGCUUUUGCUCUAUAUUGGUACUGCUUUUGCUCUAUAAUGUACAGUGAAAUCCCACAAUAAUGCAAUAGGUAGGGUCCAAAAAUUUAAUUACAUAAAAUGCAAUUACUGUAGGUUUAAUGAUUGACUAAAUCAGGCCUGGGCAGUUGGGCAUUAUGGCAUCUGGCUGAGCAAUUCCAAUCCCUCCAGGUCCCAGCCGUAGUUUGACAUCUGCUGGUGGGCAUUUGCUAGAUCUCACUUACAUACUGAGGGGUCAAAUCAAGUCCCAAGACUUCUUGGGACCUGCAGGACAGCAGCAGUGACUCCUGGAUCUCCAGGUUAGCUAGUACUCUGUUUUCCAGACCAAUCCAGGACAAUGGGUGGAAGAGACGUACUAGGGACACGAAGGCCCACAACUUUCCAUGAUAAGCUCCCUUCUUUUCCACAUCCUGCCUUGGAUCCCUUCCUCCCCAGCUACUCCCCUUCUCUCUCUCCAUAAGAUAAAGCAAGUUUCCUACACACUCAUGGAGUAGAAAGCGUUCACUUAACACACCCCUGUAAUGUAUACCUUAGACUCUCUAUGACGGUGGAUGCAGAUUCAGUUGAUGCCUAGAGUGGCUUCAUUCCCAGCAAUUCAAAAACAGUGAACAAAUUUUGGGAUGGAUUCAUUGUAUCUGUUAGAACUGUGAUAUUAGGGACCCCAAGGUUGGCAAAGUUCUCGUUCCUUGAGAUGCAAAUGUAUAAAAUAAAAUCAGCAAUAAAUAAGAAGUUGUUUUUUGUAGAAUACAGCCUUUCUCUCUAUUAGCUUAUUUAUUUACCUCUGGUUUGUUAAAUUUAAGUGAAACAAAAAUGUCAUGUAAUUUAUUAAUAGAAAUAUUUUUAUCUUACAAUCUAAGCUUUUUAAUCAAGGAAAUCAUAAUCACAUGAAGGAAAAAAAUUAUAACAUUUUGGAAGCACACACACAAAAAAACCACUCCCAUAGAUUAUUUAUGGAUGUGUAGAUAAAUAGUAAAAAUAUAAAAACAUGGAUGGGAAGUGUAUCAGUCAGGGUCCAGCUGGGAGAACAGAAUGUACUCUAAGAUUGUUGAACAUUGGAUAUUUAAUUCAAAGACUUGGUUACCCAGGUGAUGGAAGAGCUGGGAUAUGAGAAGGGAGAAGAGCCAGUGAGGUGACUCAGGGGUUAACAGCAGCAGGAAAGAACUAUGGUCCUAGAUGGAGCACCUAGGAGGAAGUGAUACUUCUAAUCCCAGAAGCCAUGUCCCCUGGUAAGAGAGAGAGAAAUUCAAGUGGAGGCUGUCUGGCAAGAGCUGGGACCACACAGGAAAUGUAACUGCAUUUGGAGAUGCCACUCAAGGCUGAGAGAGAGGGAGAAACACCUGGCUUCUCUCUUCCUCCUGCCCUCCAAUCGCCUGACUGUACCUCCCAUUGACCAAACCCAGCGGAAGUGGCUGGGAAUCCUGGGAAAUGUAGUCCGUGGACUCCCCUUCUCCCUCCCAUUGAGAAUAGAGGAGGGUAAUGGUUGGGAGCAAGCAGGCAAGUGAGUGGCAGAAAAGGGGGCAGGCGCCUCACCAACCUGUGGAUGCGCAAGACCUUCUUCCUGGAAAGGGAGUCCAGAGAAUGGGGAGGGGAGGGUACAGAGUGGUCCUCAACUGUAUUGGUAACCACUUAUUUCAUUGAUAAUUUUUUUUAAAGUUUGAAGCCAAUAUGGCAAAAUGUCAGCAUCUGUUAAAUGUACAAAGUAGGUGGCCAGAUGCUCAUUAUAGUAGUCUCUUGCAUUUCUGCAUAAUUGGAAUACUUCAAAGAAGAAAUUAUUGUAGAAAAAAAAGAAAUGUUCUAGGUUAAUGGAAUAAGGAACAUUCUCCUUGUUUAGACUCACCUCCCUUUCCAACCUCACUCCUGAUGAUUCGCCAUGGCUCUUCUUCAAAGGAGGGUGGCAAGUGGGUGGGUCUUACAGGCUCUGCCAAUCACCAGGGUUGACUCUUGGGCAUGAGGUCAUGUUAAAGGCAGAGUAGGAGGAUGAGGAAGGAAAAGAAGAAGGAAAGGCAAAGAGGGAAGGUUCCAGAAGCUUGGGAGGGAGAGGAUAACCAAUCACGGUGAGCUCUCCCAGUCUUUUUGUCUUUGACACUUGGUUCAGCAACUCACAACACAGAUGCCCUUGAGCAAGUCCCUUGGCCUCUCCAUCCUUGCAUUUGCUUUUCUGCAAAAGUGUGGUGGUUGCAAGAUUCAAUGAGAACAGAUACAAAAAGCACUUUGAAUAGUGCUGGCACAUAGCAAUCUCUCAAUCCAUUUUGGUUAUUAUUAUCAUUCUUUAUUCUUUUUAUCUUUGGAUCCUCAGUGUUAGCAGAGUUCCCCUGUGAUGAUCGUCAGAUCAAAUGAGUGGGGGUAGCAAAAGAGGACACCCUGUAAUUUGCUUAUCUAAUUCAGGUCUCCCUGUGAUAAUCUGCUCCUGGUUGAGCAUACCAAUCUCGAUACAACACUGCCUAGAUCCUGGCCUAUGAGGCCAGUGUCAGUAUGAUUUCAGACAAGUUUGGCAAAAGUCAGACUCUGGCAGAAAGAGUUACACUUCAAUAAAGUGAAGAGAGAGAAUCUGUGGGGUCAUCUUAUCAGGAGAUUCAGCUUUCUUAUUCUGAUUCUGGAUUCUGGAAGGGGUAAUCCUCCAAAUGAGACAACCUGCAGAGAAAACAAGGCCAAAGGAGAGUAUGUGAGCAUUAACUAGUUGAGAAGGCAUUCUCCUGUGGUGUGCCCUAUGGUUUUGUGCUCCCUCAGACCCCUCCCCACAAGAUGCUGUAAGGACACAAGAAGGGGCCCUGCCUUGACCUUCCAUCCAACUGCCCCAAAUGGUGUGCUAGGAAGGAGGGCAGGAAGCAGGGAUCGGGGCACCAGAGUAAACCCUAAUGGAUAGCUAAUAAUAAGCUUGGUGCCCAGCAUGGAGCUGAGUGCCCUCCCAGUAUCACCCCCACUUAUUCUCACAACCAUGUGAGUAGAGAACAAGAGAAUGGUUUGGGGGAUGCUGUGAGCAUUGGGUGAGUUAAUAAUACAUGUGAAGAGCUUAGGAUGCCUACCCCUUUCUGAGCGAACCCUCAGUAGAUGUUAGCUGCACUUAGUACAAUCAUCCCAAAUUUGUGGAUAAAGAAACCAACUUGGGAAACAGGAAAUCUACCCAAGGUGACAAAGCUAAGAAAUAAAUGGUGGAGCUGGGAUGUGGACUCGCACUCGUGAGCCCAUCCCUCUAUUGCCUCCAUCGGAAAUGGUGCUGGUAGGAGGAGAGGUAGUUUCAUCCUGGGGAAGGUCACAUUUGACAUUUGACAUUCCUUGUCAUUCUAAGUAGCUGCUGCUUUGCUGCCCUCUAACAAAAAUGAGCAGUUGUAAGAUGGGGAAAGGGAGCUCUAUGAUACCCGGGGUGGGCAGGGUGGAUAUGGAACAUCAUGCCAUGCAAACUGAUGCUUGAGACACUGAAAUGCUCUUGAAAAACUGAGUUGUUGUUUUGGCUUUAAAAACCAUAGAAGAGAUUCAGAUUGUCAUUAAACUGGGCACCUGGCAAUAUCAAAUGUCACAAGCCAUCUUCCCAAGGACAAAUAUCUUUGAUAUCUUUAAUGGGAUCUAAUAAUCAGAAAGCAUUGGUGAAAGAUUAAUAGAUCAUUUAGAAGGAUCACCUAGCAAGAGUAAAAAAUUCAUCUUGGAUGCUUAUAAGAGAUUUAAGGUGAAGUUACUCCCACUUCCUUUAAUAAGCAUUCAAUUAAGAAUGAAACCAUGGUUGACAAAGUAAAUUGGAGGAAGGCAUUGUUUAACCUCUCUAUUCUAUGGAAACUUGCUUUCCAGGAAACUCAUUUACCCCAUCACGUGGCUUCAAAUACCACCAUGUGACAGUGAUGCGCUUGGAGUGACAUUACUGGAUCUGUUUCUCCUGUAUAAGGUAAGGAUGACACCCAACCUGCCAUCACUAGGGAAGGUGGCCUGCAUUUUGAGCUGCACAGAGGGAGCCCCCCACGUAAAAAAAGACUGCCAAGCAGAGGUCAAACCCUUCCUACUGCUGGACUGCCUAAACCAGACCCUGAGACCUGUCUCGCCCCUCCCCAAAGACUGAGUACACAGCAUUGAACUUGCCCCAAAUGUUUGAGAAGGAAAAGGGCAGGACUCUUACCCUUCCCUAAACAGUUUACCUGGCCAGUCACUGGUUUAUAUUUCAGUCCAGGUUUGUUCAAGAGCCUUUGAAUCUGGAAGUGGUUGAAGUUGGAAAUGCCAAUGGCUUUCACCAGCCCCUGGUCCACCAGGUCCUCCAUGGCCUAUCACAGAAAGGAACACCUUUGGAGCAGUCCUAGAGAGACUGCAGGGACCCUGGCUUGUCUUCGUCUUCUCUGGGGCAGGAGAAGCUGGUAAAGGAGCCAUCAUGACAACGUUAGCUGAAGUAUGAAAAGGAAAUUUCAGUCCAGUUGUCCAGCUCAUGUGUGCCAUAAAGCUCAUUGGUUUCAGCCCUACUGCCCUUUACCAGCCCCAGUGAAACAAGGAGGAAAAGGUAAAGCUUGGAUAUACUUGCUCCCCUCCUCUUGCCUACAUCUGGGUGACACGAGUUGGCCCUGGAAGAGACUGCAGCAUGUGGGGAAGCACCUCUUGUCUGCAUCCGGAGUCACCCUCUCCCACGCUGACAUCGGUUUGGCUGGCAGUAAUAUCAGGGCCACUGGAGAGGGUCAUGCAGGUUGUGCCCUGGCAGGGGCACCGGGCCAAGUGAUUGAAUGGGGCCCCAAUCUGGCCACUAGCCACUUACCAAGACAUGUUCCCAGGUACAGAAACUACAUUGAACUUGAGGAAAGGUAUCUUCCCAUGAUUUUUAGCCUGUGAAGGAUACUUUUCCGAAAUUGCCCAAAGAUACCCUAUAUGUUAACAGCAGUCCAGAUUCAACAUGUAUUUAUUGUGCAUUUAUUACGCAUCCAGAACCUGUCCAGGAGUUGUCGGGAUAUAAAAGUAUACCGUGUACCUCCUUCUGCCAAGACUCUCACAGUCCAAUUAAAGUGCUAGGGUUCCCCUCCGGAGAUCCAUCAGUCCGCCAGAUGCUGAGGCUGUCUCCAGUCGCUUGACAGCAUAGCACUGGGAAUCAGGGAGGUCAGAGAAGGAAGGGCGGACUCCGGGUGGAGUUUAAACUGGGACUUGAAAAAUGACUUGGAGGAAAGAGAGAAAGAACAAGAGCAGGGGUGGAGGGAAGAAAGCAGGAGCUUUGUGGCAGGGACAAACUUGAGGUGCUCAAGGGACACUUCAUGCGGUGGUUCUUAAAUCUGACAGCCAUUUGGAAUCCCCUGAGGACUUUACAAUAUACCGAUCUCAGGAUCCACUCCCAGAGUUUCUUACCAAAUUGGUCUGGGAUGUAGCCUCAGCACUGGAAUUUCUUCAAACUCCCCCGGUGAUUUCAAGGUACAGCCAAGGCUGAGGGCCACUAGGGUAGAUGAUGUCGGUCUUCAAACUGGGCAAAGGAGUUUAGAAUUGAUGAGAUCACAAGGUCCACGACAUGUCUGAGUUGAGCAAUGAGAUAAUAUAAAAGUUUCUGUGUGUCAUAGAUCAGGUGUAAGGGGGUAUAGGACCCACGUGGACUCCUUUAUACAUUUUUCUCCCAUGUGGUUCAGGGUGGUCAGUUAGGUUUCUAUUGAACUGGUCUUGGAUCCACAUAAAAAUCUAUCGCUUACGUGUUCAGUGCUGUUUCAUCGUGGACCCACCGACUUUGAUCAUCAAAAUCUUUUCAUGCCCCCGAAUCUUUUAGUUAGUGGUUAUUCUGAAAUCCAUUCCAAGGGCAUGGCACUGUGAAACUGGGGUACUUCUUGCAGAGAACAAUGACAUAAUUGCCACAUUGGAUAUCGUCAUAAGAACUAGGGCAAAAAAUCUCACAGAACCAACCUUAGAGGUGUGCUGAUCUCCACAUUUCACAAAGAAUAAUUCCUAAGGGUAGAAGACAUCGUAAUUUUACCUGGGUAAUAUAUAUCAUAGAGCCCUCUUAUCAGAUUUAAUGCAAAGUCUGAGUCUGCUGAAAUUUUAGGCUUUGUUGUAGGUCUUGCCACAGUUUUCAUUCCUGGGAAUAAAACAUUCAUUGAGUUGAGUCCAUGCACAUAAACCACUAUGUUGCUCAAUAAAUCGUCAAACCUGAAACAUUUCCCUAAUGAAAGGUUGUUUGUGAUAGCAGAAGAAAUAUGUUGACUUUUUUUUUUAACAGUUAAGUACCAGAAUUUGAGUUUCUAUUUAUGUUUUGAUGGCUAUGAUUUUGUCACUAGCAAAGAGAAAUUAAUAUCUCAUCUCCAAGAUUCAGGCUUAAUAAAUUUAUUUCAGUAAAUACAUCAAACAAGUAUUUAAGACUAGGUAGUUGGAUAAUGACUUGUGUGGUCAUUAAGGCAAAUAAGAAUAUGUAAGUCUGGGGCGCCUGGGUGGCGCAGUCGGUUAAGCGUCCGACUUCAGCCAGGUCACGAUCUCACGGUCCGUGGGUUCGAGCCCCGCGUCGGGCUCUGGGCUGAUGGCCCGGAGCCUGGAGCCUGUUUCCGAUUCUGUGUCUCCCUCUCUCUCUGCCCCUCCCCCGUUCAUGCUCUGUCUCUCUCUGUCCCAAAAAUAAAUAAACGUUGAAAAAAAAAAAUUAAAAAAAAAAAAAAAAACGUUGAAAAAAAAAAGAAUAUGUAAGUCUGAAAAAAAAUGGCAUGUUUCAACUUGAAGUUUGAACCAUCUUUCUAGUAUGUGGGCUCGCCCAGCUGAUGGCUUGUAUAGCAGUGACAUUUUGUCACAUUGACUGUGGGUUUGUAUUUAAUUACAUAAUCAAAAUAGCAGAAGGCAUGACAAAUUGAUGGCUUCAUGAGAGUAUUUAUUUGAUUUUACUUCGAUGGAUAGUGUCUUGCUCGUGAGAUAUAUUUUCAGUAAUUUAUUAUUUAGUAUGGUUCUUAAUGACAUAAAUCAUUGCUAUUUUACUAUUGCGAAUUUAGGCUCGUAGCACCUAACUGCAAAUGACAUAUCCUGUCGAGCAAAUUCAGUGGUGAUACUGAAGAUCUUUAUCACAGCUGGUGGAUUUGCUUUAUAUACAACCUAGAGAGCUUUCAUAACAGUCUCAAAAACCCACCCAUAGAAAUCCAGAUCAUUUCCUCCAUCCUUUCUAUUCCUAGCCAGCAAAUUUAAUGGCUUACUUGCCAAAGAUAAUUCCCUUCAAAUACAUUUACAAGAUUGCUAACCUUGCCGUUAUGAAAUGAUCACUUUUCUGCUUCAUCACGCUUUCCUUAUCAAAUCAAUUUUUCCCUCCAAAUGUUCUUACUAUUAGCUGCUAAAGUUCAAAGUAGCAAGAAAGCCCGUGCUUCCGGAUAAAUACUUUUGAACAAACCACCCACAGAAAAGUUACAUUUAAUUAAAUCAUGCCAAUUCUGAACUCCUCAGAAAGGUGAGUCCUAAUCUGGUUUUAAGCAGUAAAACACAAUAUAAACUUAUAAGGACGUGUGCCCCCACACCACAAGCCGAUAAAAUGACGCAGUUAACUCUUGGUGGUGUUGUCACCAGUCAUUUGCAGUUUGUUCAUUCCCUCUGUUCUCUGUUAGCAUUUGAGAAAGAAACAAUGUUUUCAGGGGGAGAAAAUACCAGAAAAAGACUUUCACUCCUUAAUUCGAUUUUGAAUAAGAAUUACAUGGAACAGGUGAUUACUUGAUCUCAGAAACCAAGCACUUGUGUCCCCUGAUGUGCAAACGUGUGUAUUCCCUGUGUGCCAAACACCACGUGCAGGGCUUCGAACAGUUGGACUUUGGAGACAGGUAGACCUGGGUCUGAUCCCAGCUUUGCCACACUUUUGCAACGUGGUCUGAAAAAGUCACCCACCUCUCUAGGUCUCAAUUUCCUCUUUUAUAAAUGGGGAUGAUAAUAGUACCUGCCCCAUUAAGUUAGAUAAUUAAAUAACCUCCAUGAUUAAAGUUCCUGGCACUCAACAGAUGUUGGCUAUCUUAAUCUUUAAAUUACCAGAGCUUAAAAGAUAUAUUUUUAUAAAGUUGUUUUUGUCUCUUUGUUUUUUUUUUUUUUUAAGAGGCAGAAACUGAGGCUUAGAGAAAUCAGGUAACAUAACGCCAGGUUACUCAGCCAAGGCAUGCAACCCCAGGGCAAACCCUCUGUUCCAGAUCCUUCCCCCUGGUUUCAGAACAGCAUGUAUAUCCUCUAUAUUGAGGUACAUUAUAUUCCUAUCUCCUUUGAUGAUGCAGUCCUUAGCCUUUGAAAAUAUACAUAUUGUCAGAUGAACCCAAAAGCCAGAGGUGAUUAGGAAGGAGUUGAAAAAGCUAGAUUAGAGGAUAAUGAUGAUGGAAUUAAACAGCAUCAAGUACAUAGGCUCCUUCACACCAGUGUAGACCCUUGUGGAUAGCUACAGGCAAGUUUUCACUCCCAGCACACGUAGAACAAGAUGGAGCCUACCUCCCAGGCAUCCAAGAAUGUUACUUUACUGUUGAGGACUUUGUUUUUAUCAUCUGUGGGGAGAAGGAUCUUCCCAGGCUGUAACUGCGCACAAAAAGCUUAGUGCAAUGCGCACCUGAACACUCAGCUCUGUUAAAUGCGGUUUCAAGAUCCUAACCUGCGUUCAACAUCCACAUCUGUGUGCCAUUUUUUCCCCCAGAAAUGCUCCAGAGUCCAAACAUCAGAACGUGUAGUUUGUACAAACUCUGAACUUUGCGAUUUGAAAUGAAACCUCUAAACCAGUCUACUGGGGUAAGUAAGUUUUUAUAUUUUAGAAACUGCUGGAUUGACUUAAAAUCUGUCAUUAACGCAUCCCCAAAGCCACCAUUAUCAUCAGGGACAUUAACUUCAUAUAACCAGACCCCAUAUACACUUGGAGGCAACCUUCAGUUUCAAAAUCACCAGACAAGGGUUAACUUCCAAAGGAGUGGCUUCCUGGGGGAAGAUAUUGGCCAACUUGUAUUCUAGCAGCCUCAAGAAGCCAGCCGUUAGGGAUGGCACACUGUCAUCACCCUAGCUGGACAUGAGGUGAGACAGCCAGGAACUCGUGUUCCUCUCACCUCUCCGAAGCAGGCUGGAGGGGAGCCCCAGACGAUGCAUUCUUCUGUUUCUUCAAUGAGGGCUGUCUGUCUUCCAGCAUGGCCAUGCUUGGGCAUUUCUCCAAGAUGGCACCCAAAGGUGUGCUUUGAUUAACCAGAGGGUUGAACCCUGCAAUUGCAGUAUGUAAGAGCUCCCCUGGGAGGGGAACCCUUGGCACAGAAGGAGGACAAAGAUGAUGUGGCAAUUGCUUGCUGGGGCUGCCAGAAAUCAUGAUUCUCUUGGACGUAACUGUAAGAAGACCUAGGCGCUUGGUCAUCUCAGCAGCUACACGUGGACUCAGCCUCCUUUCUGGGCCAGUGCCUUUCUGUUUCAUUGUCUCCUCCUGAAAAUCUGCAGUUCAGGUCAUGAAGAGCAAGACCCCAUGCUGCAGCCCACCCCAGCCCCCAGCCCUGCACAGCUGCUGUUUUCUAGUACCCCGCUCUAGUUCCCUGCUCGGGAACUGGAGAUUGGGACAGAGAGUAGCUUUAACCUGUAAUCCUUGUGGCCAGUGAAUAAGAUAGGUCCUGACAGUCCUGUUUCAGAUCCCUAAGGGUAUUCUGAUGGGCUUCCUUCACUAAGGGUCUCCCAAAGAAGGUGGACCAUAGCUUCGAGGAACCAAGAGUGAGACAUCAGUACUGGGUAAAGGAAGUGCCGCAUCAUACUCAUUCUUCCUGCUUUUUGACUUACACCCUGAUCUAACAGGGGACAGGCCAUUUAUAGCAGAGUUGGUUCAGAUAUGUGAUCCAGGGAUGUAAGAUCACCAGGGGGUCAGCAAGUCAAUGGCAUUUCUUUUUUUUUUUUUAAGUUUUUAUUUAAAUUCCAGCUAGUUAACAUGCAGUGUAAUAUUAGUUUCAGGUGUACAAUAUAGUGACCCAACACUUCCAUACAUCACUCAGUGCUCAUCACAACAAGUGCACUCCUUCAUCCCCAUUAUCAGUUACCCAUGCCCACACAAAACCCUUCUGACAACCAUCAGAAAAAUCAUUAGAGAGCACAGGAAAGAUUAUAUAAGAAAAUAAAAUCCAUCCAUAUUUCCACAUUUCGAGAUGAUUAUUAUCAACGCUUGGGGGAUUAUUAUUGUUAACGUCUGGGGAUACCCAGUUGAGUUGGGAAGUCUCAAAGCAGAGAACUGUGCCCUGUUUCCCAGGGUGAGGUUGGGAAGAAGACACCCGGUCAAGGAAGCUCCCAGGUCCCUAAGCUGUAGAGUCACGGUGAUGGCAGGUGUCCAUCUGAGUGGGUUCAAUGGCAGCCUCGGGGUGUCCAGGAGUCCCAGCUCAGUGCUUGAGAGAACAGACCAGUUUCUUGUGUUCACGUGAGGGCAAAGCUGCCUGGAAGAAAGCUUCUGGAGAGUCUCUAAAUGUCCCCGAGCUGGGAGUGUGAAGGUUGUGAAAUGUACCUCUUCAACCUGCACAUCAUAUUCAGGGCAGCCCCAUCUGGGGAGGUUACAGAGGGGUUGAGUGCCUAGGGAUCUGAUGGGGAUAUGGACAUCUCGGGUAACUGCAGGGCUGGUCACACCUAAGGACCAGACAUAUGAGCCACGUCUCAGGGGAAGCCAACAUACAGAGGGCAACCCACACAGGCACCACCCCCACCUUGACAUCUCACAUCUCCCCUAAACUCCUAAGCCCAGAUGAUACCUCCAGACGAAACAUCCUAACAUAAUGGAUUUUAAUCCUGAAAUAAAUGGAAGUCAAAGUGGAAUGAAGGCAAAAGCAAGUGUGAGCUGGGAGAGCAACAGAACAUUUUCAGAAGUGGAUACCAUCCGCCAGGAGCCAUUGUUCCCAGCCAUUAUUUUUCCUUUAUAGUACCAAAAAUUAACUUUGUUUAAAAAAAUUAAGUUCCAGUUCCAUGAUCAGCUGAGGAAUAUCUGGCUCAGAAUUUACCUCAUAGGAAGAAUGAUCCAGACAAAAAUUAACUAAUUUAAAACAAACAAAAAAGGCCUUCAUUAUCAAAUGAGGAGAGGGUUGAUCUUGAGUCCAGCACAUUCUCUUUAUGGUUGAUUAUUACUAUUAUUAACAGGCCCUGUGCUACGUACUGUUACAUAGAUUAACACAUUUCUUGGGGUGCCUGAGCGGCUCAGUUGGUU
rnacentral:lncRNA from 1 species